GAAAUGCGAUAAGUAAUGUGAAUUGCAGAAUUCAGUGAAUCAUCGAAUCUUUGAACGCACAUUGCGCCCGGCAGCAAUCUGCCGGGCAUGCCUGUCCGAGCGUCAUUUCUCCCCUCGAGCGCGGUUGGCCCCUAGCGGGCCGGCCGCCGCCCGGUGUUGGGGCACUGCGGGCCACAGCGCCCGCAGGCCCUCAAAUGAAGUGGCGGUCCCGCCGCGGCGCCCCCUGCGUAGUAGUAAAGCACCUCGCAUCGGGUCCCGGCGAAGACCAGCCGUCGAACCUAUCUCUUGAUGGUUUGACCUCGGAUCAGGUAGGGAUACCCGCUGAACUUAA
rnacentral:misc_RNA from 2 species